UAGGGAAUAUUGGGCAAUGGGCGCAAGCCUGAUCCAGCAAUGCCGCGUGCAGGAUGAAGGCCUUCGGGUUGUAAACUGCUUUUGUACGGAACGAAACGGCGAGCUCUAAUACAGUUUGCUAAUGACGGUACCGUAAGAAUAAGCACCGGCUAACUACGUGCCAGCAGCCGCGGUAAUACGUAGGGUGCAAGCGUUAAUCGGAAUUACUGGGCGUAAAGCGUGCGCAGGCGGUUAUAUAAGUCAGAUGUGAAAUCCCCGGGCUCAACCUGGGAACUGCAUUUGAGACUGUAUGGCUAGAGUGUGUCAGAGGGGGGUAGAAUUCCACGUGUAGCAGUGAAAUGCGUAGAUAUGUGGAGGAAUACCGAUGGCGAAGGCAGCCCCCUGGGAUAACACUGACGCUCAUGCACGAAAGCGUGGGGAGCAAACAGGAUUAGAUACCCUGGUAGUCCACGCCCUAAACGAUGUCUACUAGUUGUCGGGACUUAAUUGUCUUGGUAACGCAGCUAACGCGUGAAGUAGACCGCCUGGGGAGUACGGUCGCAAGAUUA
rnacentral:rRNA from 1 species